UUUUGUUAAAUGUGUUUAAAUGUAAAUAAUAGCAUCUUUUUGCAUAAACAGGCAUCCUUAUGUUAUUAAUUUUUUUACAAAAACAAAUAAGAGUUCAAAAUAAAAAUUUUAAUUUAUGAAAAGAGAAGAAGUAGAAAAAGUAUUUUUAACUCAACAUUUACUGAGUGAAUCAGGAGAAGAAGUGUUGGUAAUUUAUUUGAAACAGAUAGUAUCACGAGAAGAAGUGGUAAGAGUAAUAAAAUUCUUUUAUUCAACAUUACGAAUUGAAUUACGAGAAGAAGUGGUUGUAAUUAAUUUAAAACAUAUUGCAUCACGAGAAGAAUAGGAAAAAUAUUGCUAUACUUAAGUAUCAAGAUUAAAAUACUGAUGUACCGUUAAACUGAAGGUGGUAAUAAAGUUUACAAAAUUUGCUCUGGCUGAAUUUUUCAAUGAAAAAACAAUAUGUGUGCCAUGAAUGUAAUCUGUUUUUCAUGGCGUAUCAAUGAAAGUUUGGUGUAUUGGCCAAAUCACUUGCAAGCAUCUUGCCUUUAAACUGCCAUACAUAAAGCCGUGCUUUUAAAAGUAACUGAAAGCAGCUGAAAAUAAGAUUUUUUUGAUGAACUUUCUUACUUCGGUUGGAGGAGAUGAGAAACAACUUACAGCGGCAAUCUUAAUACAGCUAAUGGUCAAAGAAGUAUGAUUUUCAUACGCAGUGUAUGGAAUGAAACAAAAACGUCCUGCAAGGUCGUUAUAGUUCCAGAACUUAGUUUUAUUCAGAAAGUAUUUGGUAAAUGCUCCAGUAAUCAAAUAUAUGGUUGCAAUAAUUGCAAGUUUUUGAGGCCGGACCUUCAUAAUAGAAAGAUUGGUUUUAAUCAAACGAUUACUGAUAUGCAAAAACAUGGAGAACAUGCAAGAGUUGAACUUGGGCCUAAGCCUGACAAAGAUUCAGCACAAUCUAAUUUAUUGCUUCUAAUUAUAGACAACGGGGAACAGUUUUAGUUGAAGGGUUGAUUAACGACUUCAUGCCACCAUGUGGUUUGCAUUUAAUUUUUCCACACCAUAGACAUCUUUGGAAAUUCUUAUAUAAUGUAUAAUUCCACAAAAAAACAUUUUGACGGAAGAAUUGAGAAAUAUUAGGUGUUUAUAUUUAGCAUUUUAACUUGAUUUUUAUUUUAAAAAGUAAAUAUAUCAAUUCUUGAUUUAAGUUUAA